rnacentral:lncRNA from 1 species
CAAGAAAAGAUGGAGGGAUAAAGACGGAGAGAAAAUGAAAACUGAGUGGGAAGUGGAGGGGGGAGGGAUGGAGGGAUGGAGGGAUGGAGGGAUGGAGAGAAGGAGCGAGUGGAACGUGAAGGAGGCUCGGAGAGAGAAGUCCGCCAUUAGAAAAGUCAAGCCGGAGAUUUACGGAGCGAAGACGGAGCUGGAAAGAUCAAGCGAUGUGGAAAAUGACUAUCGUCGUUGAUUUGUCUUUUCAUCCAUCGUUUAUUGUCAUUUUUAAAUUGUUUAUUUGUCAGUUGAUUUAUAUUUUUUAAUGUGUGGAUUUGUUGCUUUUCUCCGUUUUAGAUUAAAUGUAUUUGGGAGAACGAGACGACCGAUCACGUCACUUCGGUCUGAAUCGCUGGUGGAGUUUAUUCACUAUGCAUAAGACUUAUUACGAUUCAUUUAAGUUUUCUAAUCACUUUUUAACGAUGAGUCAAUCAAGAGUAAAUGGAUCAAUAAUUUAAUCAUCCGGUUAGACGAGGGGAUUCGUCUGCCCGGAUGUGUAGAACUUCCUCCUGGUUGAGGAAAGAGUUAAGAUUAUUAAACAUAUCAAAUGUACAGUAGAGUCUAAUUACAUAAACAUAUAAUCCAAUAUGUUCCUGCCUCAUACACGGGAAACUGCACACCUUGAUCAAUAAUGAUUAAUUAAUAUGUUAUUUUAACUGGGUUAUUAAAAGCUGCUCCACGAUUCACCGUAACUCCUGCAGGGGCCACAAGAGGGCAGUAGAUGUACAGCUCAAACCGGUCACACCGCCACCUGUCUCUCAUUCUGUCUGUCUGUCUGUCUGUCUGUCUGUCUGUCUGUCUAUCUGUCUCUCUCUGUCUGUCUGUCUGUCUGUCUGUCUGUCUAUCUGUCUCUCUCUGUCUGUCUCUCUCUGUCUGUCUGUCUGUCUGUCUGUCUAUCUGUCUCUCUGUCUGUCUGUCUAUCUGUCUCUGUCUGUCUGUCUGUCUGUCUGUCUGUCUGUCUGUCUGUCUGUCUAUCUGUCUCUCUCUCUCUGUCUGUCUGUCUGUCUGCCCUGUCUGUCUAUCUGUCUCUCUCUGUCUGUCUGUCUGUCUGUCUGUCUAUCUGUCUCUGUCUGUCUGUCUGUCUGUCUGUCUGUCUGUCUGUCUGUCUGUCUGUCGAUCUAAUUCCAUCGUCUUCUUUCUCUUCUUGUCUUUGUCCUUUAUCCUUCAGAUUUACUUUCAUUCAGCUUCACAACGCUGGAGGGAGAAGAGGCAGGAGAGGUUCCCUGAUCGGUUGCAUGGUCACAUCCCAGGAAUUCAGUCCGGAGACACGUUCUACCCUCUGACGCCACCUCACGCCAGAACCAGAUGUGAACAUCCUGAACAACCUGUUGAUAUGCAACAGGCUCCACUCGGCUGGGAUCAUCAGACAUGCUCUGGGAUUUGA